UCGGGAAUUUUGGGCAAUGGGCGAAAGCCUGACCCAGCAACGCCGCGUGAGGGAUGAAGUAUUUCGGUAUGUAAACCUCGAAAGAAUGGGAAGAAUAAAUGACGGUACCAUUUAUAAGCUCCGGCUAACUACGUGCCAGCAGCCGCGGUAAUACGUAGGGAGCAAGCGUUGUUCGGAUUUACUGGGCGUAAAGGGCGCGUAGGCGGCGCGGUAAGUCACUUGUGAAAUCUCUGAGCUUAACUCAGAACGGCCAAGUGAUACUGCUGUGCUAGAGUGCGGAAGAGGCAACCGGAAUUCUUGGUGUAGCGGUGAAAUGCGUAGAUAUCAAGAGGAACACCUGAUGCGAAGGCGGGUUGCUGGGCCGACACUGACGCUGAUGCGCGAAAGCCAGGGGAGCAAAC
rnacentral:rRNA from 1 species